CUGUAACUAUUCCCCAGGUCGUUGCUGUAAAUGAGAAUGUGUUCUCAUUCAUCCCCCUCCUCUCCCCUGUAACUAUUCCCCAGGUCGUUGCUGUAAAUGAGAAUGUGUUCUCAUUCAUCCCCCUCCUCUCCCCUGUAACUAUUCCCCAGGUCGUUGCUGUAAAUGAGAAUGUGUUCUCAUUCAUCCCCCUCCUCUCCCCUGUAACUAUUCCCCAGGUUGUUGCUGUAAAUGAGAAGGUGUUCUCAGUCAUCCCCCUCAUCUCCCCUGUAACUAUUCCCCAGGUCGUUGCUGUAAAUGAGAAGGUGUUCUCAGUCAUCCCCCUCCUCUCCCCUGUAACUAUUCCCCAGGUUGUUGCUGUAAAUGAGAAGGUGUUCUCAGUCAUCCCCCUCCUCUCCCCU
ensembl:lncRNA